rnacentral:tRNA from 1 species
CGGCGAGUGGCGCAGCUCGGUAGCGCACCAGUCUGGGGGACUGGGGGUCGCAGGUUCAAAUCCUGUCUCGCCGACCA